UCCAUGUGAUUUUGACUUUGCACAACGAUAUUCUUUUUUUAAAUCUCACUCUGUGCAUCCUCUCAGUCUAUAGCUCUUCCCGGCAGAUAUGGAUAAAAACAUCACGGAGUGCUUUCAAAGAGUAAUCCUGGGUUUCUUACAUCAGGGUCCUGCAGAGAGAGGGCGCUUGCUGAAUGGCUUGUUAGAUACAUAGUGCCAGCUUCUUGGGCUGGCCCAGUCAGGUGGUGGUUUCACAGCAACAGGAGAUGAUUCUGCAGCCCACUGGGCAUCCACGGAAAAGCCUAUGGAAAGCAGCAACAAGUAAAAGUUUAGCUGUCCUAGGCGAGGAGAUGUGAGCAAGCUGGAUUUUGGAGGAUCGAACAGGGCACGUCUCUGGAGCCUUGAACCUCUCCAGCACCAUCAGCAGCUUUGGUCUGGCGCCGGCCGCAGCAGCUGGAAGUUCAGAAGUCAGUGUCUUGUGAAGCCAGGCGCUCUAAAUCUAAUUCCAGACACAGGCUGCUGCCAGUUGCAAAGAGCUGCUUCUUCCUCUGGGACACGUUUCUCCAUGAGUUACAUCAAGGUCCUCAGUAAAUUGGCAUAUGGCAAUAGUCAACAGCUGGACAGGAAGCCAGGGGCCUUGGGUUCAAAUCCUGUCUCUGCCACUCGAGUUUUGCCUUUGUGAUUGCAAGCCACCUAGACUGCUUAAGCUAACGGAAGUGGGGGCAGAGUCAUUCACUGUAAAAUCACAGGAAAGUUUUGAAGGUUGACGACCUCUCAUCUAAAAUGGAGAAGCCCCAAAUACCUCCAGAUCUUGUGAGCACUUCCACAGAGUCGCAAAGAAUAGAAGUGGAUUGUUCCAGCUAUGAUCAACAUCUGAUAUCUCUCAACGUAGAGCUAAGAAACAGACCAUGCUCCCAGAGCUAAGGGCCCUGGGAUGCAUCCCACUAAUGAGCAUUUCAUGACUCGUUCAACCGCGAUUUCCUACAACCCUCCCCAUCUGUACCUGAUUCUUCCAUCAUGAAAUGAAGGUGUCUUUUUAAUACUUUUAAUAGUUUUAUUGCAUUAACUGAGAUUUUCUAAUUCCCCAGAGCAUAUAGGAAGAAAUGCUAGCCCUUAAGAUUCCGUGCACGAAGUGAGCUCUGAGUUCCAAUGGAAGAUGAUAUUUUUACCAGACACCUCUUGGACAUUCACCUAGAUCGCAUGUGUAGUUAAGGCUCUGGCAAAUCCUUUAGUGUUAUUACAGGUUUACUCCUUUGUGGGGGUUCUUCUUUUCAAGUAUUAUUUUCUUUAUUUAUUCUUCUCUCGUACAUUAAUUACAUCCGGACUGCAGUUUUACCUCUGUCCUCACCCCCCAGUUUCUCCCCCACCUCCACCAUCCACUCCGUCUCUGUUUCUCUUUAGAAAAGGGCAGGCAUCCCAUAUGAGCCAAACAUGGAAAGCCAAGGUGCAGUAAGACUGAGCACAUGCCCUCACAUCAAGGUUGGAUGCUGGAACCCAAUGAGAGGAAAGGGGUUCCAGGAGCCCCUGCUCCCACUGUUAGAAAUCCCACAAGAAGAGCAAGCUAUACAGCUGCAGAGGGCCUAUGUCAGACCCAGUGCUUAUUAGUUCCAUCUCUGUGAGCCCC
rnacentral:sRNA from 1 species